GAGAUGACCCAUAGUACCCCAUUCCUUGCUGCAAUGUAAUUAUAUUUAAUUACAAGUGUGCCCCUGGUAGUCUUUAACUGAAGGGCACUGACUGGGUCACUGGUGAAGUUCCCCGCAGGAACUGAGUCAGACCCCAUCUCAGGGCCCUGCACAAGAUAGGUGCCUGCUCUAAGGCGUGGACCCUCGCCACAGCCCUGGCCCGUCUUGACGGGCGAGGGUUACUGUACUUGUCCCAACCGUACAGAUGAGAAAGCUGAGACUCAGGGCCAGCAACCCGGGUCCCAGCGGAGCGCCCGGCACACGCCGACACUUCAGCACCAGUGGCGGUGGCCACCACUGUGGGCGGAGAUGGCUGCGACGCGUGCGCAGAUACCUGGGAGAGAGGAUUUUUCAUGUUACCAACACAAAGAAAUGAUAAAGGUUUGAGGUCAUGGGCAUGCUAAUUACCCUGAUUUGAUCAUUAUACAUUUUAUACAUCUACUGAAAUAUCCCACUGUACCCCAUAAAUAUGUACAAUUAUUAUGUGUCAAGUAAAAUAUGAAUAUAUAUAGUAAAUAAAUAAAUGAAGUAAUUUGCCAUUACUUAACAUUUCAUUAAAUGUAUGUUUCCAAAAUUAUAUUUGUUCUUGAGACCUUUUGAGUGAUCACAGUUUCUGCUAUUCUCCAUAAGGCCUCAGUUUGACAGGGUGAUGAAAUCUUGAAUAAAACACAAAGGAAUGUGUUUGUAUUUGCAGUGCUUCCCUUGCAGGUGAAAUGGCCACCAGACCCAGGCUUUCUGGAAUGCAUUCAUUUUCUGCAGUUGAAAGGGACAAUCCCGGAUCUGAAAGAAAGAGCCACAGUGACUCCAAGAGUGGAGCCAGGGCAUGCUGGACACUGCAUAGCUAUGGCCACGUGUGUCACCUCCGAGGGAGAUGUGAGAGAAACGCAGAGGGAUCGCUUGUGACUGUGCCUUCUCGAUGUAUGAUGGACUGUUCUGCUCAAAUAGUAAGUGUGACCAAGGAGCCGGUGAACAUAGGAAACAAAGAAUAUUUCAUUUGACAUUAUAAGGAAUGCGACAAUUCUAGUCACUUGAAAGUGAACUAUAUCUGUCGAGAAUUCCUAGUUUUAAUUGGGAAGAAAUGUGCUUCUCUUCUUGAAAAGCCACAGGUUAUUGCUGUUAUGUCUAAUAUCAGUCCUCUCUGGAUUUCUCAAAAGAUUUUCUGUAUAUCCUACCAUUUUCCUUCUGUUGCUGCAGUUUGGAAGUAGUUUGUUAUCAGGAUUAUCAAAGCAUCAUUGCUAUUUAUGACAAUGACUUUAAGAAAUGCAAGAAUAUUUGGAACACUGUAGAAAAAAUAUUUUAGCCUGGAAGGCAAAUACUAAUUUCAGGAACUAUUGAUCUGUUAUAAAACAGGACCACUCAGACAUUUAGCUCUAAGACUUUCACAUAUCCGUUGUUAGAGGCGUAUAGUGGGGGGCAUGACUCAGCUUCUGCUUAAGUACAAGGUGUUGUCUGCAGCGAAGGAAGAAUUUGAUUGUAGUAUCAACAGAACCAGACAGAACUCUUUGAAUAUAAUUAUAUAUCUUGGAAACUGACUCAUCAAAGCUAUUAGAUUACAUGGCAUCAUUUAAGCAUCACUGGGCUCUGUACUUUUCAUUAUCUGUACUUUUCAUUAUGGAGUAUAAUAGGCUUUAUUUGGUACAGAAAUUGGGUCUAAGAUGAAACAACUUGUGAUUUUUGAAUAAACUUUUGGGGAUUAGUUACUUUGAUGUUGUCAAGAUAGCACCAUAGUAAG
rnacentral:lncRNA from 1 species